rnacentral:snoRNA from 1 species
CCUCUGUCUUGGCGAGCUUCUUUCUCUCAUUGGAGAAGCUCUAAUGCUUCCAGAGGAACAGAAGGUAUUGGGUCUGUAUGCCUUCGGUGCCUGCCCCUCGUUAGCCCCCGCGGGAACGACCAGGGCAGGUCCUAUCCUCAGAAGGCCCUACAAGA